rnacentral:lncRNA from 1 species
UUGUUAGCCGCCGUUGUUGAAAACAAAAGAAAAAAAAAUAUAAAAAAUUAGUUUUUGCUUAAUCCCACAUCGGGGAGAUAAGCAAAGUGAAGGUAGUGAUUUGGCUAUAAAAUGGAAGCAAUGUUUAGGUUUCCAAAUACACCAAAACACACCAAAAACACUUGAACGUGUUUUAUAUUAGGGAAUCUUUUGGAAUCCCUUGGAGUAUAAAAUAUUUGGGGUGUUUUGAGGGUGUCGGGUAGAAAAAUAUUUUGUAAUUGUGGUUGUAACAAUUUGCCGCAUAGUGAAUAU